AGCGAACGCUGGCGGCAGGCCUAACACAUGCAAGUCGAGCGCACCCUUCGGGGCGAGCGGCGGACGGGUUAGUAACGCGUGGGAACAUACCCUUUACUACGGAAUAGCCUCGGGAAACUGAGAGUAAUACCGUAUGUGCCCUUCGGGGGAAAGAUUUAUCGGUAAAGGAUUGGCCCGCGUAAGAUUAGAUAGUUGGUGGGGUAAUGGCCUACCAAGUCUACGAUCUUUAGCUAGUUUUAGAGGAUGAUCAGCAACACUGGGACUGAGACACGGCCCAGACUCCUACGGGAGGCAGCAGUGGGGAAUCUUAGACAAUGGGCGCAAGCCUGAUCUAGCCAUGCCGCGUGUGUGAUGAAGGCCUUAGGGUCGUAAAGCACUUUCGCUAGGGAUGAUAAUGACAGUACCUAGUAAAGAAACCCCGGCUAACUCCGUGCCAGCAGCCGCGGUAAUACGGAGGGGGUUAGCGUUGUUCGGAAUUACUGGGCGUAAAGCGUACGUAGGCGGAUCAGAAAGUAAGGGGUGAAAUCCCAGGGCUCAACCCUGGAACUGCCUCUUAAACUCCUGGUCUUGAGUUCGAGAGAGGUGAGUGGAAUUCCGAGUGUAGAGGUGAAAUUCGUA
rnacentral:rRNA from 1 species